rnacentral:lncRNA from 1 species
AGAGCGCGUGCGGCCGCCGAGCACAUGGACCCGCUGGUCAAGCGGGUUGUACAAGGCCAGAAUGAAGAGAAGCUGCGAGUCAGUAUGGAACUCAGAGGUCCCCGAGUGGAUAUCCACGUGGAAAGGAUGUUGGCAGCCCGGGUGACCUCGGAGUCACGGCUGGAUCCACCCUCCCGCCUGAUUUUCUUAACUCCACCCUGCUGAGAAGAUGCCCUCCAGGAGGCUGUGCUUGCAGACUCCACGGAGCCUCUCUCAAGAUUUCCUGAACCUUGUGGAUUUACAGUAAGACGAAGUUCCCUGGGGAGUAAUUCUGGUGGAUGCAAAUUCUGGAGUAAUACACCUGGCCUGCCUAGAGAUGUUACAAGUGGCCUAAUGGAUUUUUCUAGCCUGGACGCCCACUGGGGACAAGGAUCAUUACUGACAGGAUUGUAUCUCUACCCUUGACUCCAUGGGAAUAUUUGGUCUGCUCUCUCGGGCUCCCUCUAAAAUCAUAUCCUUUAAGCAUUCCAGAAGGAUUUUGAGAACCAUCCUUUCCUAAAUCAAAGCUAGAAUAUUUGGAGAUUUGGAAAAUUGAGGUGAGAAGCAUUGAUUUAAGAGAUGCCAAGUAACUCAGCGGAUGUCACACAGAUGAUAAAGAGCAAGGAUAGACCUCUUCAUUUCAUGUUUGAGGCAAUUCUCUAAGACAGCUGAUUUCUCCAGAGCUGGUAGGAGACAGACUUGCUCACGUGAUAGAUCCGGCCAUGAUAUUGUCCCUAAGAGAACGAGAUGCUCUUUGCAGAAGACAUAGAAGAUUCCUGAAACUGGGAAAGGGGCCUAGAAACCUGGAGAAGAGUGAAGAAGGCAUUUUCCCUCCCCUGCUUAGGCAUCUGCCACCAUAUUCAAUACUUUCUCCAGGGUUCUCAGGUUUCCCAUUGGCUUGGAAUUUGUCAAUUAGUUUUGCUGGCUGGACAGAAAGCCACACGGAUCCUCUUGUCUUGGUCUCCUGACAUUUGGAUUAAAGUCACCUGGAGGUGCAGGCCAUCGCUAUGUUAAACCUAUGAGGUGAUGAUAAACCACACAACUGGAAACCAGAAUGGAAGAACAGAAGCUGGAUCCUUGACAGAAUUAUUGAUGGGAUAGUCCAUCAUCUGGGGCUAAGACCACCUCCAGAUUUCUUGUUUGGUGAAAAUUCCUGAUUGUUUACAUUUGUUUAUUUUGAGCAGUCUCUUACUUGUAGCUAAAAGCAUUUCUAAUAGAUAUUCAAAUUAUCUGCACAGCAAGGGGCAGCCAGAGCUCCAGGGGUUCCAACCUAAAAUAAUCUAUGGAACCGCAGAUAAGUGUCUUAGCUUCUUCAUGAAUUCCUUUGCUCAUCUGUGUAAUGCUCAAUAAAUGUAAAUUGAACCCUGAAUGAGGGACAGUGGCACUAUUGAAGUCAUGAUUGUCAAUCUUAUUAACUGACUAAAUAUUUACAAAAAGGUUGGAACAUUGCCGGACUCACAGUAAGCGGAUGUGGAAGGUGUUGGCAAAUGGACUGAGAAGAAAAGCAGCCAUGUUUGUAGGCUUUCUUUUGCUUCUUGAUCCAUCCUCAAGCCUCUGUGGUCUUUAAGCAGAACCUUGACCCCUUCACUACUGGGGCCCAUGGAGCAUGAAAUGCCCCCCCAAACUGUCUCAAAACACCCACACUAGUAGUUUCUUUUUGACACAAAAGACCUCUUAGUGAAUGCUGGCUUGUGAAAAAGAAGGGGUUGCUACCACCAAAUCAUGUCAGUAGAUGACCAAAAUACCCAAAGCAACUCAUGCAAAUAGAUUCAAGUCUCUCUGGACAAGGCUUCUGGAAGGCUCUAGAAUUUUUGAAGCUCAUUUUUGUAAGGGUCUUUCCAUCUGGUGGCCUUUUCUUUUGCAUCUCCUCUCCUCUUUCUCAUCAGAGGUAGAGGGAUGGGAGGAAGAGUAGUGCUUGGGCUCUCUGCCCUUUCUGUGUAGCGAGGAACCAGACUGCUGAGCAUGUGUGAAGCAGCAGGUGUGAUUUGGGAUGUUACUUUCUGUUACACCAAAUGGCCAGGCUCCAGAGAGGUCACUAGAAAUCGACCAGCGAGUAGGCAUUAUUUCAAAAUAGUUCUUGAUCAUGGGAUUAAAGAACCAACUAGUAUGUGUGCCCAUUUAAAAAAAAAAUUCUGCCAAAGAAUCCUACCUCACAUUUGGAAAGUUCCUGUUGAAUGUGGGCCCUUCCGAUUCACUUAUCCUUUCUUUCAGAAACACCCAAGGAAAGGAGGCCUUGCCUUUGAACCACUCUCCUACCCAACCUUCCUGCUUCUGUCUGACCUACCUUCCUUCUUCAGCAGCUAGGAUCCUUUAAAAGUGAGCACCAAAUGAUGGGGAUUCUUCAGCCACAAGUGUCCUCUGAAAUUCUAUCUUACUUAGAGUAAAAUCUCUAGAUUCAUACAGUGUUCUGUGUGUGGGUGGUGGCUUAUUUUUUCCUGCCAAUUUCUUGCUUGUUCACACUACUCUCCGCCUGGCUUUCUUAUGUCACAGAUUCCCUGAGUACACUCUGGCCUCAGUCUUUCCAUGAAGCAACUCCCUUUUCUAGAAAAUUCUUUCCCGCAUAACUCUCUGCUCUGUCCUCAUUAUAUUCUGAUCAGUAUUUGGAUGUCAAUUUCCAGUCAGGCCUUCUGUGCCCAACCUCUAAAGUGUGCUCUCCUUCUUUGCUGUCCCUAAGUCAUUUUGUUGUAGACUAAAUGUUAGCAUUUUUUCACCAGGAUAUAAACCUAGUGAUAAAGGAGCCAUUAUUCCACUGUCAUACUGGUUACAGAAUCCCGACUAUUCUGCAUUGGGUGCUUUACCAAGUUAUAAAGCUCAAUAAAAUAUUUUGACAAAGUUUUAAA